GAUGAACGCUAGCGGCAGGCUUAUACAGACAGUCGAGGGCAUCAAGGUACACGAAGUGUAUUGUGGCGACCGGCGGACGGGUGAGUAAUAGGUAGGUAACCUACCUCAUACUGAGGCAUAGCUGGGAGAAAUUCCAGGUAAUUCCUCAUGAGGUUAUAUGACACAUGUGAUAUAAUCAAAGGUAUCGCAAGGUACUGGUAUGAGAUGGGCUUACUGACCAUUAGCUAGUUGGUGAGAUAAGAGCUCACCAAGGCGAAGAUGGUUAGGGGUUUUGAGAGAGAGAUCCCCCACAUUGGAACUGAGAUACGGUCCAGACUCCUACGGGAGGCAGCAGUAGGGAAUAUUGGGCAAUGGGCGGAAGCCUGACCCAGCCAUGCCGCGUGAGGGAAGAAGGCCUUCGGGUUGUAAACCUCUGUCAUGGGGGAAGAAGUAAGUGACGGUACCCCAAGAGGAAGCCCCUGCUAACUACGUG
rnacentral:rRNA from 1 species